UGUGGGUACACCUCUUCCUUAUCAGGUUUUGAUAACCGAAUUAAGUAGAUAGGAUUGGAGUGACUUCAUUUUUUUCUGUGUUUCUUCUAUACUAAUAGAUCUAUUGAGAUUUGUUACUCCUUAAAUCAGUCAAGCCAGACCAGGGAUGACUACCAGCCAAAUGACCGCUCUAAGUUUUCAAGCCCUCCACAUCCACCAAGCCAGCAUCCUUUCUUGUCUGGACUACUGCAGUAGCCUCUUAACUAGUCUCCCCACCCUCCUCGAGGCCUCCUCUAACUCCAUCUCCUUGGCUUAUUUGGGGCUAUGAAAUUUCCUCUAAGCACAAGUUUGGCUACAUCCUUAAGAGGCCACACACCCUGGUCCCUCCAAACGUGACUUUCCUUGUGUCCUGUGGAAGGAGCAUACAUCCUCACCUCAUUGAGUUUGGGCUCGGCCUCGUGACGUGCUUUGGCCAAAAGAACGUGAGUGAUGCAUGCCACAUCUGAGCAAAAGUUUUAAGAGGCAUCGCAAGUUUCCCUCAGCUUUCCUGCUUUGGCUCUUCCCCAAUACCACAAAAACAAGAUGGUCCCUUCAGCCUGGGUCUUGAAACAAGAAGACCCAUGAAGCAGAGCCACAACCUGGAAUAGUGGCCCAGGCAACCUGCACCCUGCUUGUAAUAUGAGUGAGAAAUAAAAUUUUUUUGUGAUAUGCCACUGAGAUUUUCUUUAUUACCCCAGAAAAGCUGACUGAAAUAGGUCAAUUUUGUUUUGUUAUUAUUCUUUUAUGAAUAAUUUCUAUUUUUAAUGCAUUAUGCUCAGAGAAUAUGACCUGUGAAAGUUCUUAUCUUUAAAGUGAAAUUUCAACUUAUUGAGACUUCUUUUAUAAAUGUUUUUGUAAGUGUUCCAUGGGUAUUUAAAAGACUGUGAGAUCUUAUAUUGUUAGGUACAAAGCUAUAUUAUUAAUUACAUUAUUAAAAUCCUCUGUCUCAAUACUUCUCAAACUAGGGUCCAAGGACAUAUUCUUAUAUAUCCAGGAAUCUAGAAAAAAAUCUAAUGUUGUGUUUUCACUGCAAUAAUAAUAUUAAAAACACUCAUAUAAGCAUUUUCUAGAUCACCUAGAUGACUUCUUUAUAACAGAUACUUGAUACUUAGAGUCUUCAUUUGCAUUUAAUAUCAGGAAACACUACUUUAAUCUUGAGAUGAGACAGAAAAAAUGCAGACGUUAUAAAUAAAUGCUGUGUU